AAGACCUUGCGCUUUUGGAGCGGCCGAUGUCUGAUUAGCUUGUUGGUAAGGUAAAAGCUUACCAAGGCUUCGAUCAGUAGCUGGUCUGAGAGGACGGCCAGCCACACUGGGACUGAGACACGGCCCAGACUCCUACGGGAGGCAGCAGUGGGGAAUUUUGGACAAUGGGGGCAACCCUGAUCCAGCCAUGCCGCGUGAGUGAAGAAGGCCUUCGGGUUGUAAAGCUCUUUCAGCCGGAACGAAACGGUUACGGUUAAUACCCGUGACUACUGGCGGUACCGGAAGAAGAAGCACCGGCUAACUACGUGCCAGCAGCCGCGGUAAUACGUAGGGUGCAAGCGUUAAUCGGAAUUACUGGGCGUAAAGCGUGCGCAGGUGGUUUUGUAAGUCAGAUGUGAAAGCCCCGGGCUCAACCUGGGAACU
rnacentral:rRNA from 1 species